rnacentral:antisense_RNA from 1 species
GGGUGCUCAGGAUCUUUCGUCCUGAGCCUGAGCAAGGGACAGAAAGAGAAAAGCCCCGAGUCGAUAUUUAUCAACCCGAGGCCAACUCUAACGCCAGACAACGUUAGGCUAGCUUCUUACCCGCCGUGAGGCAAGGAGAAGGAGGCAUG